UUAGCACACAGAAUCUGUUUACCAUAGCUUUGAAGAUUUUGGUGUUAAUACUUGUAAGGAAGACAAAGAUAUCAAUGUUGAAAUUCAUAGAGCUGGAAAACUAUUAACUCCUUGCAACUGGAAAAGGAAUAUCAAGACUGGCUUUUGCAGAUGCAUGAUCAAUAUGAUAAAGAAAAUAACUUUGGAGCAGAUCAAGCAAUUUUUAUCCUUAGCCCCAAAAACAAAAAGUCAUGGGCAUUUCAUCUGAUGUUGCAAGGGUGCACCAAGUACUAAAGAGGAAGGGUUUAACGUGGAAAAGAGGUCAAAGAGUUAAGGUUUUCAAGGGAGCAUGUGCUGGGUUCAUACAAACAAUAUCUAUGCAACAAUAGAAUAUUUUUAAUUGAA